GGUUACACUGUUGUGCUGGACCUUUAUUCUGGUGUUCAUUCUGUUAAGGCACAUUAGUAAAUAUUUGUUGCUCGCAAGGGUACUGUGACUGUUUGUUAUCUCAUCUUUAAAAGAUUCAAGGCCAUCGGGCGAUAUGUCGUUGAUUUUAUAUUCUCCUGACUGAAACUAGAAACCUUUUACAGGACGACAACAAUGUGUCCUUCACUUCGGUACCAAAGAUUCUUCGAGCAUAAUGGAGCUUCUGCGGUUCAUUCAAGGGCAAAAAUAAUUUAUUGCUAGCUGUCCUCUUUCGUUGUCUGGCCGAUCAAGAUUAAGUCGCAAUGAUCAUGAUUUAGGUUUCAUGCCGUGGGAGGUGAUCUCCAGUGUUACGAAUAACUAAUGGUAGUGCAUCUUAAGCUUGAUACUGCAAGUAAACAAACACCGCUAACAAUGAAGUAAUAUAUUUAGAAUAGUUUAUGCUCGUAAGAUAUUUAAUUGUUCUUCUGUAGUGUCAUUCCCCAAUUGUCAAUAGUAACAUACUCGCCUCUUUCUCUGUAGCUAAAUAUCUUCUUGAUAAACCUGUAGCCAAAGCCCUGGUAGAUCCAAUAGCUAAAAAUAUGCAGGCAAAGCUCCGGUAUAUGUUUCUUCUGGUCAUGUAUGCUGUGAUGCAUAUUACACAACUUUAUUUCUACCCUGAUGUAUAAAGCAUGUAUUGCUGAUGUUAUGAUUGGCUAAAUUUGAAACAGCCCUAGACUGGGAUGCUUUAUCUUUAUACUGAUCUUCUACCACGAAACAACAUCAUUAUUUCAGCAUUUAGUUACCAUUGUGUGUGCAUGCAGUCUAGAGUAAGUACCGAACACGAUCUGAUACAUUCUUGCUUUUCCUGCUAUACUUUCUUUUUCACAAUACUAUCUACGCUUUGCUGAAUGUUGCCUCCACUUUACCUCACUUUAUAUCCUCCUAUUCCAGAAAUUGGUUGAGUAUGAAGCAACUAAGAUGAUAUUGGUUUGUAGACCCCUAAUAUAUUUUUUCAUGUGCCGGCGAGUUCAGAUUUGUGUACUGAUUACGGCUUCUUAUAAGCCAUACUUAGUGAUCUGGGGUCAAUAACAAGAAGUGACUCGAUUAUGCAAUUCAUUUUUGUUGUAAUGCAUCUCAGUUCUGUUAUUUGCCAUUUGUUCAACCAAGAAUUAUAUUGCUCUUACCUUUUAUCUGUGUGAUAUGUUUUAUUCA